rnacentral:rRNA from 1 species
UACGUAGGGUGCGAGCGUUGUCCGGAAUUACUGGGCGUAAAGAGCUCGUAGGUGGUUUGUCGCGUUGUCCGUGAAAACUCACAACUCAAUUGUGGGCGUGCGGGCGAUACGGGCAGACUGGAGUACUGCAGGGGAGACUGGAAUUCCUGGUGUAGCGGUGAAAUGCGCAGAUAUCAGGAGGAACGCCGGUGGCGAAGGCGGGUCUCUGGGCCGAUACUGACGCUGAGGAGCGAAAGCGUGGGGAGCGAACAGG